CUUCUCCUUUCGCUUGCGUCUGAUUGAGAGUUUCCGAGACGGUAACCCGUCGGUGCCCAAAACAUCUGGACCCAAUUGGGUUUGAAAUGACGCAAUUUUAGGAAAAUGAAGAUCUCUCCAUCCAAUCCCGAGCGUCCAGUCUUCUUCCGUGUGCUGAUCUGACGCCCCCUCCCCUCUCCUUCUUCCGAACGCGGUUCCAUGACACCUGAAAUUACUCAUCAAAAUUGAACAAAGUGACUCAUUCCUCGGACUUCCGCAACUUUUUCGUCCCUUGAGACGUCAGGAUAAAUUGCACUUUUAAGGAUGGCCAAAUGACUUCAGGUCACUGCAAUGAAGAUAUGAACAUUUAUUCACCAUUAUCCAGAAAAAAAAAUUGCUAAUUAACUUGGGGUCUGGCAAAGAGAAGGGGGUCUCUCCUGAUCCUUGGCUCAAGACUACAUUCAGGAGAGUGAAUUAGUUUCCCUGAUUUUGACAUCAGAUAUUUGUUCUACUUUGACAUCACUGGGAAGAAAAAGUAACUUAAAGUCCGGGUGAAAAAGGAAAGGUGCUGUAGGAUCCUAUGUAUUUGCAUUGCUCACCACAGAAAUGCUUUCUGGAAUAGGAUGGUGUGCUGUGAAGGGAAGAGCACAGUGUCCUCACCACACAGUGUUCCUCUCGUAAGUAAAGCUCUUGGUUGAUCUUAAUGGGUCAGAGCUCUUAAAGCAGA